UAAUUGAAGAGUUUGAUCAUGGCUCAGAUUGAACGCUGGCGGCAGGCCUAACACAUGCAAGUCGAACGGUAACAGGGAGCAGCUUGCUGCUCUGCUGACGAGUGGCGGACGGGUGAGUAAUGUCUGGGAAACUGCCUGAUGGAGGGGGAUAACUACUGGAAACGGUAGCUAAUACCGCAUAACGUCUACGGACCAAAGUGGGGGACCUU
rnacentral:rRNA from 1 species